rnacentral:rRNA from 1 species
UACGUAGGAGGCGAGCGUUGUCCGGAGUUACUGGGCGUAAAGAGCUCGUAGGCGGUUUGUUGCGUCGGCUGUGAAAUCCCGAGGCUCAACCUCGGGUCUGCAGUCGAUACGAGCAAACUAGAGUGUUGCAGGGGAGACUGGAAUUCCUGGUGUAGCGGUGAAAUGCGCAGAUAUCAGGAGGAACACCGGUGGCGAAGGCGGGUCUCUGGGCAACAACUGACGCUGAGGAGCGAAAGCGUGGGGAGCGAACAGG